GGAUUAGAUACCCUGGUAGUCCUAGCCGUAAACGAUGGAUACUAGUUGUUGGAGGAGUCAAUCCUUUCAGUGACGAAGCUAACGCAUUAAGUAUCCCACCUGGGGAGUACGCUCGCAAGGGUGAAACUCAAAGGAAUUGACGGGGGCCCGCACAAGCGGUGGAGCAUGUGCUUUAAUUCGAUGCAACGCGAAGAACCUUACCUGGGUUUGACAUGGGGGUGAAACUUUCCAGAGAUGGAAAGCCUUCCUUCGGGAACACUCUACACAGGUGCUGCAUGGUUGUCGUCAGCUCGUGCCG
rnacentral:rRNA from 1 species